rnacentral:rRNA from 1 species
GGGUGGCAUCAUAUCGAGGUUACUCCGCUACAUCCCAUCAAACCCUUCCAAUUAAUCGUGCUUGGCCUAGAGUAGUACAGACAUGGGUGACCUCUAGGGAGGUCCCAGUAUUGUACCGUG